rnacentral:rRNA from 1 species
AGAAUUUUAAUGGUCGAACAGACCAACCCUUAAAGACUUCUGCAUCUUUAGGAUAUUCUGGUCCAACAUCGAGGUCACAAACCUUUUUUUCGAUUUGAACUCUCAAAAAAGAUAAUGCUGUUAUCCCUACGGUAACUAAUUUCAUUAAUCAUAAUUUAUGGAUCAAAACAAGUAAGUUUAUAAAAAUUAAAGAAGCUUUUUUUGUUCCUUAGUCGCCCCAACCAAAAUUUUUAAUAAUUUUUUUUUUACAAGUAUAAUAUAAAAUUUAUUAAUUUUUUUAAAGCUCGAUAGGGUCUUCUUGUCUUUCAAUUUUAUUCAGACCUCUUCAUCUGAAAGUAAAAUUCUAUUUAAUCAAAAAGAGACAGUUUUGCUCUUGUGAGACCAUUCAUUCCAGUCCUCAAUUAUAGGACAAAUUAUUAUGCUACCUUAGCACAGUUAAGAUACUGCGGCCGUUUAAAAUUCACUGGGCAGACUAGACUCUA